rnacentral:lncRNA from 1 species
AGAGACUGAAAGAAAAGCAGCAAAGCCCUGGGUAAUCAAGGCCCUAAACGGAAAGUGUCAGGAUCUUGGGGAUCGUAUUGUAUAAAAUGGAUGAAAACAGAGCUAUUGGGUUUGAAGCACUCCUGAACCCUCUCAUGGAACCCUAUGUCUUCCUGGAGUCUACAGAGCUAUUGGGUUUGAAGCACUCCUGAACCGUCUAGUAGAACCCUAUGUCUUCCUGGAGUCUACAGAGCUAUUGGGUUUGAAGCACUCCUGAACCGUCUAGUAGAACCCUAUGUCUUCCUGGAGUUUACAGAAAAAGAGACUCAGGGAUUUUCCCAAAGCACACUGCAAGUUAGGGGCAGGAAUGACAGCCCAGACCUUCUGGUUUCCAGUCCAGGGCUCAACUGCCUAAACAGUGGCAUCUCUUCAGGCAGGCCCUGUCAGAGGCAGCUCCCAAGUUGUGAUGUUGCCACCAGUAUUAGAACACAGUGGUCUCCAAAAUCUUGCCAAUGAAUCCUCCAAGGUGCGUACCAAGUUCCGGAAUAACUGAAAGAACAUCACAUACACAGGCUGGGUACAGUAGCUCACAUCUGUAAUCCCAGCACUUUGGGAGGCCGAGGUGGGAAGACUGCUUAAGGCCAGGA